CCCAAGCUAGCUCAGCCUGGUAGAGCUUCCGGCUGUAGACCGGGCUGUCGAAGGUUCAACUCCUUCGCUUGGGACCA
rnacentral:tRNA from 1 species